rnacentral:lncRNA from 1 species
CUGGGAUCGGAAUUACAAACCCGGACGGAACUUAAGGUCCACUACCUACUGUGAAGAGCAAGGUGGUUGUGCUCUUCCCUCUUGACCCACCCUCCAUGUAGAAUAACAUAAGAAUAUGCCAUUAUGGUUCUACCCAAAACCUUCUGCUCCUGCCUAUGUGCCUUAGGAACCCCUCCCAAAAAUCAGAUUAGAAAUUCAUGUUAAAUCGUUAUAAUUUUACUUUGAC